rnacentral:tRNA from 1 species
GGGCCGGUAGUCUAGAGGUUAUGACGUCACGCUUACAACGUGAAGGUCGGCGGUUCGAGCCCGCCCCGGCCCA